GUACUUUCAGCGGGGAGGAAGGGAGUAAAGUUAAUACCUUUGCUCAUUGACGUUACCCGCAGAAGAAGCACCGGCUAACUCCGUGCCAGCAGCCGCGGUAAUACGGAGGGUGCAAGCGUUAAUCGGAAUUACUGGGCGUAAAGCGCACGCAGGCGGUUUGUUAAGUCAGAUGUGAAAUCCCCGGGCUCAACCUGGGAACUGCAUCUGAUACUGGCAAGCUUGAGUCUCGUAGAGGGGGGUAGAAUUCCAGGUGU
rnacentral:rRNA from 1 species